rnacentral:lncRNA from 1 species
UAUUUCAUAAGAUAUAAUCAUACUUUUAUUUCAUUCUUUAAAUGUAGUUUCCUUUAGUUCUUUGAACAUAUUUAUAACAGCUGCUUUGAUGUCUUUAUCAGCUAAGUUCAACAUCUGGGCCCCCUCAAAAGUUGUGUCUAUUGCUUGCAAUUUUCCCUGUGGAUCACACUCUCUCAUUUAAACAUUUUAGAACAUAAUUGGUAUCAGUUCUGGAUACUGAUUCUCCCUCCUUUUUCACCUGGUCUCUUGUUAUUGUUUGUUUAUUCAUUUGUUUGUUUAUUGACUGGUAUGGGCUAAUUCUAUGAAGUCAGUCACUUUUUCCCCAAUGUUUGGCUUCUGAUGUCCCUGCUCCCUGUCCUUAUCUUUUAGACUGGUUACCUCAGAAUUUCUUCUGGGUCAGCAUAAGCCAUUUACUGGUCAAAAGUUGUGGUUAAGACCCCUUAACCAGUAAGACACUUACCUCUUAAGUAAGUAUCUAACUAGGGGCAUAAGGCUUGGAGGCCUCUACCAAAAUUCAAAGAGGUUACAUUUAUUCCUACAUUCAUCUAGGGACCAGUAGCUUGGAUGUUUCUUCUCUGAUCACUUCUAAGAGGGCACAAUCUUGAGCCUACAAAACUGUGAUCUAGACUGCCUGAGAUGUAUGUGAUUUUAUUUUUUUGGCCUAGCUUUCUAGGAGUUGCCCCAGUCUAGGGUUUGGUCAGAGCAUGUGCUUAAGCCCCUCGUGCCAGUGAGGCAUCUAUACUUUUUUUGUGUGUGGAUUUGUGUGUAAAUUGGGGAGUGUUUUCAAGUUGCCCCACAUUCUGCUCUGAUUGCUCCUGAGUGGGUACAGCCUAGUAUUUGCCCAGGCUUCCCAAUUCCCAGAAUUGACUGUGAUGCCAAGAGGGCUCUUGGGAUCUUGGCUGUCUCUUUUCCCAGUUAUUUGUUAAAUUUCUGGGUGUCCUGCCCUUUUGUUUUUUGCUACCAGUUUCACGGAGUUACGAGCACUUUUAAUUGCUCUCCCCAAGCUAUUCAUUGUUUUCAAUAACAGUAUGUUGCACAGAAUUAUCCACAUCCUGUCCUGAACAAAAUCCUUCCUCUCAGGCAGAGCUAUAAGCUCUUCAUUCUUACUGUCUGCUUUCUCCCCGGGUAGAAUGUCUGCAGCACUGCACAGGAGCUGGGAGUGGGAACUACCUGCUUCCCUGAAGAGGCACCUCUGCUCUACAAUAUGAGCUUCUGGAAAGCUUGCAUAGUCUCAGGACAGGGAUCUGGAGGAAAUGGGGAGCAUCAGAACCACAGAAGGUUGUACUGGGAAUAACUGGGGCAGGAGCAAAAGCCCAUCCAAGCAGAUGUUUACCACCUCAUUGAUAUGGAAGACUCUGUGAGUUUCAAAUCAAAUUUCCCUUUAAAGAGCAGAUAAAGAGUAAAGCAAAUGGGCCAUGCCUUUGAUUAUUCAUUUGUCCCUAAAUAGGUGCUUCUACCUGAGGCUGCACACGCUCCGCCAGGGGUGAGGAUGCCACCAGCCCACUAUAGCUUCAGUUUCCAGCUUCCAGGAAACUGGAUGAGAUGUUAUCAACUCACAGCAGUUACAACGCCCAUUAAUAAUAAUCAGCUUACCAGGAGCCCCACACUCUCUGUGCCCCACAGGAGAACAGCCCAAGGCAAAGGUAGAAGGGUGGUGAAGUGUGGAUGGGUGGGGAGGUGACACAGUCCUGGGGAGGCAGGGGCAGCCUAGGAAAGUGGAGAGAUGUCCUUUUCCAGCCUUUGUUCUGUUGGAUAAAUCUAUAUCUAUAUCUAGAUAGAUAGAUGGAUGGAUAGAUAGAUAGAUAGAUAGAUAGAUAGAUAGAUAAAUAAUUUCCAGUAGCAGGAAGAUAGGGAGGUGAGGACAAAGGGAAAAAGCUAUCAACAAACCAGGCCUAGUUAUGUUCUCUGCAUGUGGGCUUUCAGACCAUCCUUGUCCUCACAGAUGUGUUUGGAGUAGACAUGUGUUAGAUAGCUUACCCUUUUCUCAGAGACCAAGUAGAGACCAAGUGCUUGAGCCAAGUACUUAUUUUUUCCUCAAAAGCAAGUUUCAGCAGCAAUUUUUAACUAUACCAUCUUUUAAAGCAAGCUCCCCCCAUCCUAGGAAACUCUGUGCUCAGGCACUUAUUAGUUCUGCAGGGUGGCAUGCAAAGGCUUUUCUAAAGCAUAAUCAUAAUGGAAAAAUAAUACAUAAAAUCUGUGCACUUGUGUGUGUGUGUUUAACAAGAAGGCACUUAUGCAGCAUACAUCAUUAAACUUUAUGUGCAUUUGGAGAAUAAAUUAUCAUUUCUAGCCUGCCUCUGGUAUGGGUUGAAGAGUAAAAUACAUUAACCUAAAGUUAUUAUUUAUAUGCUAACAAAUGGAGUUAAUGAAAACUAUUUCACAUAGAAAGGAAAGAUAAGUGGUAUGCAGAUUUUUUGAGAAUUCACCUGAAAAUUGAUGGUAAAUACAAAGUCUUCUGUACGUUAAGAUCAUGCAAUGGGAUAACCUCAUUGCUCGAGGAUUUCACCAAAGCAAACAGAGCAAGAAACGUUCUGUACGUGGUCUCUUCCUGCCAAGCACGCACAAUCAUCAACUGUUUUCUAAAGAAUACACAUUUGGAAUCACACAGACUUUUUGAAAAAUUGCUUGAAAAGGUCAUUUGUGGCAGGGCAUCAGGGCUCACGCCUGAAUUCCCAGCACUUUGGGAGGCCGAGGCAGGAGGAUCAUUUGAGUCCAGGAGUUAGAGACCA